rnacentral:rRNA from 1 species
GAUGAACGCUGGCGGCGUGCCUAAUACAUGCAAGUCGAGCGAACAGACGAGGAGCUUGCUCCUCUGACGUUAGCGGCGGACGGGUGAGUAACACGUGGAUAACCUACCUAUAAGACUGGGAUAACUUCGGGAAACCGGAGCUAAUACCGGAUAAUAUAUUGAACCGCAUGGUUCAAUAGUGAAAGACGGUUUUGCUGUCACUUAUGGAUGGAUCCGCGCCGCAUUAGCUAGUUGGUAAGGUAACGGCUUACCAAGGCGACGAUGCGUAGCCGACCUGAGAGGGUGAUCGGCCACACUGGAACUGAGACACGGUCCAGACUCCUACGGGAGGCAGCAGUAGGGAAUCUUCCGCAAUGGGCGAAAGCUUGACGGAGCAACGCCGCGUGAGUGAUGAAGGUCUUCGGAUCGUAAAACUCUGUUAUUAGGGAAGAACAAAUGUGUAAGUAACUAUGCACGUCUUGACGGUACCUAAUCAGAAAGCCACGGCUAACUACGUG